rnacentral:rRNA from 1 species
UACGUAGGGUGCAAGCGUUAAUCGGAAUUACUGGGCGUAAAGCGUGCGCAGGCGGUUAUGUAAGACAGGUGUGAAAUCCCCGGGCUUAACCUGGGAAUUGCAUUUGUGACUGCAUGGCUAGAGUGUGUCAGAGGGGGGUAGAAUUCCACGUGUAGCAGUGAAAUGCGUAGAUAUGUGGAGGAAUACCGAUGGCGAAGGCAGCCCCCUGGGUCAAGAUUGACGCUCAUGCACGAAAGCGUGGGGAGCAAACAGG